GGAGACGUACCUAAGUGGCCGAAAGGGGUGGUCUCGAAAACCACUGUACCGGAAACGGUACCGGAGGUUCGAAUCCUCCCGUCUCCGCCU
rnacentral:tRNA from 2 species